rnacentral:rRNA from 1 species
CGGACCGGCGCACGGGUGAGUAACGCGUAUGCAACUUACCUAUCAGAGGGGGAUAACCCGGCGAAAGUCGGACUAAUACCGCAUGAAGCAGGGGCCCCGCAUGGGGAUAUUUGCUAAAGAUUCAUCGCUGAUAGAUAGGCAUGCGUUCCAUUAGGCAGUUGGCGGGGUAACGGCCCACCAAACCGACGAUGGAUAGGGGUUCUGAGAGGAAGGUCCCCCACAUUGGUACUGAGACACGGACCAAACUCCUACGGAAGGCAGCAG